GUGCUCACUUCGGCAGCACAUAUACUAAAAUUGGAAUGAUACAGAAAUUAGCAUGGCCCCUGUGCAAGAAUGAUACGCAAUUCGUGAAGCUAGGUGCAGCUCA